CCUACGGGUGGCUGCAGUCGAGAAUCUUCCGCAAUGGACGAAAGUCUGACGGAGCGACGCCGCGUGCGGGAUGAAGGCCCUUGGGUUGUAAACCGCUUUCGGAGGGGAUGAAAUCUUCGAGGGUUCUCCCUCGAAGUUGACAGAGCCUCAAAGGAAGCACGGGCUAAGUACGUGCCAGCAGCCGCGGUAACACGUACUGUGCGAACGUUAUUCGGAAUCACUGGGCUUAAAGGGUGCGUAGGUGGCAAUCCAAGUCAGAUGUGAAAUGCCUGAGCUUAACUGAGGCACUGCGUUUGAAACUGGACUGCUAGAGUAUUUCAGGGGUGUGCGGAACUGCCAGUGGAGCGGUGAAAUGUGUUGAUAUUGGCAGGAACACCGGAGGCGAAAGCGGCACACUGGGGAAUAACUGACACUGAGGCACGAAAGCCAGGGGAGCGAACGGGAUUAGAUACCCGGGUAGUC
rnacentral:rRNA from 1 species